rfam:Columba livia unplaced genomic scaffold scaffold16, whole genome shotgun sequence.
UUGCACUGUUCGUAAUCUGUUAACAGUACCUUUCUGAUAACAGGUUCCAUUCCAGUGCUACAUGAUACCCCAAGAUAACAGAAGGCUGGCUGUUUGUCUGCCUGUCUCCAUUAUUGUGGGGAACAUAG